rnacentral:rRNA from 1 species
GAGUUUGAUCCUGGCUCAGGACGUACGCUGGCGGCGUGCCUAAUACAUGCAAGUAGAACGCUGAAGACUUUAGCUUGCUAAAGUUGGAAGAGUUGCGAACGGGUGAGUAACGCGUAGGUAACCUGCCUACUAGCGGGGGAUAACUAUUGGAAACGAUAGCUAAUACCGCAUAACAGCAUUUAACCCAUGUUAGAUGCUUGAAAGGAGCAAUUGCUUCACUAGUAGAUGGACCUGCGUUGUAUUAGCUAGUUGGUGAGGUAACGGCUCACCAAGGCGACGAUACAUAGCCGACCUGAGAGGGUGAUCGGCCACACUGGGACUGAGACACGGCCCAGACUCCUACGGGAGGCAGCAGUAGGGAAUCUUCGGCAAUGGGGGCAACCCUGACCGAGCAACGCCGCGUGAGUGAAGAAGGUUUUCGGAUCGUAAAGCUCUGUUGUAAGAGAAGAACGUGUGUGAGAGUGGAAAGUUCACACAGUGACGGUAACUUACCAGAAAGGGACGGCUAACUACGUGCCAGCAGCCGCGGUAAUACGUAGGUCCCGAGCGUUGUCCGGAUUUAUUGGGCGUAAAGCGAGCGCAGGCGGUUUAAUAAGUCUGAAGUUAAAGGCAGUGGCUUAACCAUUGUUCGCUUUGGAAACUGUUAGACUUGAGUGCAGAAGGGGAGAGUGGAAUUCCAUGUGUAGCGGUGAAAUGCGUAGA